UGAGAUUCCUUCCAGCCUUACAUUGCUAUAAUUCUAUGGUUCUGUACUUUUUUAGAAAGAAUCCAGUCUUGAUUUCAACAGGGCCAGGAUUUCACCCAAGUGCUUCAAAUGAUGGAGAAUCAACAACAUCUUUCGGAGAACCAACAUGGUGUGCUGGGAUCAUAUCAUUUUGGAAAUGUGGGAUAACCAGCAGUGGCUUCAGAAUGUUUGAAUGAGGAACCAGACCUUCACGGAGCUGUGUGAUGAGCUAGCACCAACUUCCCAAUGCUAAAACCCUUGGUUCUGACAAGCCACGCCGUUUCAAAAGUGGGUUGCUAUUGACCUGUGGAAGCUGGCUAUUCCAGACAGCUAUAGGUCUGGUACAAACCACUUUGGGGUUGGAAAGUCCACUGUCAGGGUCAUGGUUGUGCAGCUUUGUGAAGCAAUAAACUUUGAUUUACUCAUGGGUGGCUCCAUAAGAAAAGUUCCAGAAAUAAUUGGUGGAUUUGGGAAGAUGAUGUUUCUGAACUGUGCAGAGGGCACUGAUGGCGCUCAUAUCCCAGUACUUUGCCAACCACAAGGGGAACCUGAGUAUGUAAAAUGAAAAAUGAUAUGGUUCUGUAUGAUGUGUCUGUGCCAACUGUUAUUUUGGGGAACACUGCAUACCCACUCCUGAUUGGGUUUAUGAAGCUGUACCCCAACAUCAAUGAAUAUGGAAAUAGGGAAUUCAAUUACAAGUUAAGGUGGCUGCAGAAUGGUUGUGGAGUGUGCAUUUGGUAGGCUGAAAACUCAUUGGUGCUGCCUACAUUCCCAUCUGGAUGCCAAUGUGGCAAACUCCAUUUGCAUAAUUGUUGCCUGCUGCACCCUACAUAACAUUUGUGAUGGUAAAGGGGGAUGUUACUGUCCCAAGUGAGCUCAGGACAAGUUUGGGGUUACAAACUCUCUACAGACAGCCAGAUCCCACCAAGAUGCACACUAAUUCUGGUUCCCAGCAGGCAAGGAAGAUCAAGGAUGCCAUAUGUGUACACAUCUUGGCACAUCAGGGAAGCAGAGGAUGACAUCAGCCUGUGCCAAGGGACACCUUCACUUCCUGUAAAUAUGCUGGAAAUACACACAAGUGUAAGGCUCCAUGGGUCUAGAACCCGGGGCCAUAGAGCUACCAGGCAAUUAACAUCUCCAGAUUGACAGCCAGUGGCACCUGUAAUCCCCCCCUCCACUUCCCAUGACCCGCUGUGGACACAGACCAUGGAAAUUUCUAACUGAAGGGUUUGACAGGCAGCAGCCCGCCUGGCUCCUGAUUGGCUCCCUACCCAAUAUAAACCCAAAGGGCAUUCAAGGAAGUGUACAGGCAACAGUGCAGAUCUUCUGUAGCUGCCACAACUGUUCCUGUUCUAUGCUCUUGAACUGCUGGCUUGACUUCAGCUUGAUUUGCGUCCCAACUCCAACCCUGAAAUCUGGCUUGGACUCUGACCCUCAGUAUCAACCCUGGCCUGGAACUGAGUACAAACUCCUUGGCUACUCCUAGCCACAGGUUUGCCCCUGUUUUGACACUUGGCCCUGAAUGCCCUUGUUGGGAUCCUGACACUGUGGGAAUAUUGGUACAUACUUAUGGAGCUACCUAGCUUUGUGAGGGUUUUGUUCCCCUGUAGCUGAAGGUCAUUACCCAUUUGUUCAUGUGACAUUGCACAUAUUAAAAAUAAUUGUACCAGGGCACCUCCAUUGGAUUAUCACCUUGAGGUUGGGUUUCUGCUGUAGAGGUUGGUAGCUGAGUCAUGGUCAUUGUUCAAUGUUUUUGUCUUCUUUAGAAACCUGUCUUAUCCAGACCACUUAAACUUUUUUACCAAGCUUAUGAUGGUUUGUUUUGAUGGGGUAGGUUAGGGGAAAGAUUCCAACCAUUGUGUUUUGUGACUUUUUACUGUCAGCAGUGCUAAAUGCAAUUAACAGUUGUUAGAGCACUAAUCCCUGAUAUGACUGAUACUGCUUACGGGCCUGGGGAGGUGGGGGUACUGUACAAGGCACUCUUAUUGCUGGUGCAUUCCCUCUUUUUUGUUGUUCUUUGGUUUUGAUUUUCAACAUGUUUAAUAAAGCCACUGAGAAAUUAA